GUUUCAUGUUACAUUUGAUCCAUCCAUUCCACUGAUGUCACUCAAAGUCUGAGGGCGGAGCCAACGAGUGUUACACUAGCUUUUGCGGGAAGCGAGUAAAUCUGUGUCAGCUCUUAGAGAUUGAGCCAAACGAUGCCAGCGAAUGUAUUUCAGCGAUUGUCUCAAGGGAAUUCUGGAAUGUUGUACCUGUAAAGAGUCAGAUACACUUCAAGCAGAAAGACUAUAAAACUAAGGAUAUGGACAACUGAUGACUAACUUAUCAGCCCAGUUACCCAUCCAUCUAUAGAGGCCAUUGGUUCCACCAUCUUUGCAUGUAAGAGCCUCUUGAAUGAUUUUUCAGUUUUCUUAAUGCCAUUAUACUAUCCAGAAGGUUGUUCCUUUGUAAUAUCUGCCAUCGCAUGAAAGCAUUGAGAGAAGGGCCAGCAGAUCUUCCUCAGAAGCACAACGGAAAAUUGAUCAUCUCAAAUCAGCUACAAGCAGAAUUGUACUGGAAAAUGGAAGACCCUUGGCAGAGGCCUGUGAAAAUGACAAGUUCCAGCUAAUAACAAGUAGCAUGAAAAAAGAGAGAAAACAAGUGAAUGAAUACAUGCAAGUAAUUUGAGAAAAA